rnacentral:SRP_RNA from 1 species
ACUGGGUGUGGUGGCAUGCCCCUGUAGUCCCAGCUACCUGGGAGGCUGAGGCAGGAGGAUCACUGAGCCCAGGAGUUCUGGGCUGCAGUGAGCUGUGCCGAUCAGGUGUCUGCACUAAGUUCAACAUCGAUAUGGUGACCUCCCCGGAGUGGGGAACCAUCAGAUUACCUAAGGAGGGGUGAACCGGCCCAGGUGGGAAAUGGAGCCACUGCUGUCCAGCCUGGGUAACAUAGUGAGACCCUGUCUCU